AAAGAAAAUAAAACAUAAAGUCGAUGCUCGUCGAUACUCGUGGCAAACGAAAUUAAUUUGUCCUUCGUGAAUAGCUCAUUAAAAGUGAGCAAAGAGCAAGUUACGUUACGGUGGCACGAGUUUGUCUCAAGUGGCGGCUGUCGUCGGUCAAUCUGCCGUAUAAAUGCAUCCGCGUGUCCUCGUUAACGUCUCCUCCGCGUUUUACGAAUCGGACGGGCGACCGGAGGAGGCAUUUUGCGGUGUGCGUGUGUUGGUCGGUAAAUAAAUGUGAAACAACGAACGGUGUUGGUACUUGGGAUAGACGACGGUUCAUGGCGAUUCUGCGCGGUCACAAUACGAUCAUUAGGCUAUUUUCCAGAGUAUACCACCGGCUAGUCGCAAUAUCUUUCUCUCUCAUUCUUCCUCUAUCUUAGCUUAGCUUUACCUACCUCUUUUCUUUCCUCUCUUAACACAGCCAACGUAUUUGUCCCGUCUGGCAAAGGGGCUUUCUGCGCGCUGGUAUUCACACAACUUGUAAGCUAUUCUCCAUAGUCGGUACUAGUUCAAGUUAUAAGUAUGGAGUAAGCAUAGCCGUAAAGAGAGUCCUGUCGUAUUCCAAGAGCAAAGUGCGAUGUCUGACGGUGAUCUUGUUACCGCAAAAGUGUGCGCAAUAAACAGGAGACUCCGUCGUUCGCGGGUGCCAUCCUGAGCUUCGUAAACUCAUGCCAAGUUCUUGGACAAUGUUAGCAAAAAGGGUACACAACAAAGCCGCUUAUGGUAGGUAGUACAAGAAACUCGUACUUACUACCAUGCCAUUCGUAUCGCGUCCACGUGUCUUCCGCGUCACCGUACGAUCGAUGGUACCCAUUUCUAUCAGAAAAUGGAGUACUUACUAUAAAUCCUCCGUACCGAAGGCACGUCGACUCAAAGAUAUUUCCUGCAUCUAUGGGACAUGUAAAUGAAAAAAGAAGGAGGUUGAGGAGACGAUUAUGCGACUUUCGUAUCACGAGGAAGAAGAGACGUAACGCAUAUCAUAUCUCGUGAUCUUUACGACACCGAUGAUCGUUCGAGCGACGGCUGAGGGGCUAACAAUGUCGAAACCUUUCCUUCAGCUCACGAGAAUGGAACUAACGUGGAAAGCAAGAGUGCGAGAUGACAACGACGACCACGACGACACGACGUCCUGGACGAGUGAGAUUAUCGGUCACGUCGAAUCGCACGAGUCUCUUACAAACGUUAACGAUUUUGCGAUACAAGUCCUUUGAUCAUCAUCAUGAUAAUAAUGAUGAUGAUGAUAAUGCUUUGCCUUAUAGUUAUUGCAAAUUUCUGUAAAAAUGGAAUAAUUACGAUUGAUAUCUUGUAAAUGAUUCUUACCGAAAUAAAUCUCUUGUCGUAAAGAUAAAU